rnacentral:rRNA from 1 species
UACGCAGGGGGCUAGCGUUGCUCGGAAUCACUGGGCGUAAAGGGUGCGUAGGCGGUUCUUUAAGUCCGGGGUGAAAUCCUGGAGCUCAACUCCAGAACUGCCUUUGAUACUGAGGAUCUUGAGUUCGGGAGAGGUGAGUGGAACUGCGAGUGUAGAGGUGAAAUUCGUAGAUAUUCGCAAGAACACCAGUGGCGAAGGCGGCUCACUGGCCCAAUACUGACGCUGAGGCACGAAAGCGUGGGGAGCAAACAGG